UUUACCCAACUGCUCGGAGCCAGACUCGCUGGCUUACUCUGCCUUUUACCACUUCUAUUAGUCGUGUGAUUUCUCUCUCCCUAAUCACCACAAUUGCACAAUUUUACUUUUCUACGAGCUAGCGAUCGUGAAAUUCCCCAAAGGUGAUCUUUACCCUGAGCCCGAAAUGGCUUGAGAGUUGGAUUCCCAAAUACCGUCUGCUCUUCAUCUGGCAGUGGCGAAAGGCCAUAUCGAGGUGGUUAAAUUGCUGCUAUUGACCAUAAUCCUGAGAUGUUCCUCUCUACUGGGAAGGCAGGAGCCCUAUUCACCUAGCAGUGGUCAGAGGAGACACUGAGGUACUCAAGGAGCUCAUUUAGGUGAAACCUGAAGCAGCUCGAAAACAAAGAUUGGAAGCAGCAAUGUUUUGUAUCUUUGCAUCGGGCUCUACCAGUUUGAAGUGCUGGAAUACUUGGUGGAAAUGACGGGGGACGAUCACAAGUUUAUGAAUUCAAAGGACGAUGAUGUCUCCACCAUUUUGCAUCGUUGCCCAGAAAAUUAAAGGAUUAUGAGAUACACACUGCUCGAUGCUCGACCCCCCCUCCUCAAAAGCCCACACCUCGUGACUCCACAGUUGUGAAGAAGAUGGCAAGAUGCAUCAGAAGAUGGAUGAAGAGGCUCAGCAGCAUCUCCAGUCCAAGUCGAGACCCAAAUGUUCUGCUGUAGCCCCAGGAGACUAUUAGGAGAUGUAUACAUGCAGAUGCUAUACUCUCAUUUCAUUUUUCUUUAAUGUGCAUCCACUCCCUUGAUGUGGAAACUGUUAUAAAUGAUCAAUCGAAUGAGUCACACACA